rnacentral:tRNA from 1 species
GGUAGGGUGGCCGAGAGUGUAGGCGGCGGAUUGUAGCUCCGAAUAGAGAGGUUUAAUUCCUCUCCUUAUCA